AAUGAACGUUGGCGGCGUGGAUUAGGCAUGCAAGUCGAGCGCUCACCCGCAAGGGUGGGAGCGCCGAAAGGGAGAGAAACGCGUGGGUAUCUACCCUCGGGACUGGGAUAGCUGCGGGCAACUGCAGGUAAUACCACAUGACGUCCCCGGACCCACGGUGUGAUUCCGCCUGAGGAUGCGCCCGCGUCCUAUUAGCUUGUUGGCGGGGUAAUGGCCUACCAAGGCAAAGAUGGGUACUGGGUGGGCGAGCACGACCCAGCUCCCUGUGACUGAGACACUGCCCAGAUACCUACGGUUGGCUGCAGUCGAGAAUCUUCGGCAAUGGGCGAAAGCCUGACCGAGCGACGCCGCGUGUGGGAUGAAGGCCUUCGGGUUGUAAACCGCUGUCAGAGGGGAGGAAUGGGCGGAGGGUAAUCUCUUCGUUUUGACCUAUCCUCAGAGGAAGUACGGGCUAAGUUCGUGCCAGCCGCCGCGGUAACAC
rnacentral:rRNA from 1 species